GACGAACGCUGGCGGCGUGCUUAACACAUGCAAGUCGAACGGAAAGGCCUGCUUUCCCUUGUGGAUUGCGGGUACUCGAGUGGCGAACGGGUGAGUAACACGUGAGUGAUCUGCCCCCAACUUGGGUAUAAGCCUGGGAAACUGGGUCUAAUUCCCGAUAGGACUGCAGGGUGGUGCCUGUGGUGGAAAACGAUUUUCUAGUGGUUGGGGAUGAGCUCGCGGCCUAUCAGCUUGUUGGUGGGGUAAUGGCCUACCAAGGCGGCGACGGGUAGCCGGCCUGAGAGGGUGGACGGCCACAUUGGACUGAGAUACGGCCCAGACUCCUACGGGAGGCAGCAGUGGGGAAUAUUGCACAAUGGGCGGAAGCCUGAUGCAGCGACGCCGCGUGGGGGAUGACGGCCUUCGGGUUGUAAACUCCUUUCGACCGCGAGGAAGCCACCUGGUUGGAAGGGUGGUGACGGUAGUGGUAGAAGAAGCACCGGCUAACUACGUG
rnacentral:rRNA from 1 species